rnacentral:rRNA from 1 species
ACCUAGAGGAGCCUGUCUAACAACCGAUAAUCCACGAUUAACCCAACCACCGCUAGCCACACAGUCUAUAUACCGCCGUCGCCAGCCUACCUUGUGAAAGCAACAAAGUAAGCACAACAGCACACACUAACACGACAGGUNGAGGUGUAACUAAUGAGGUGGACAAGAUGGGCUACAUUUUCUAACACAGAAUAAACGAAUAUACCAUGAAACUGGAAACUGAAGGAGGAUUUAGCAGUAAGCCAAGAACAACAUACUNAACU